UACGGUUUAUGCGUCUUCCCCUUUACUUUGAGGCAGGAGACCUUGCAUAUUACACAAACCUCCGCUCUUUGCCCCCAUGUCAAGCGCAUUUUCUGUCUCCCGUGAGCGUCUAUGGAUUAAACUCUUUAGCCCUUAGUAUUCACAAGGAAUUUCCUGUGGUGUAUAGCGGGCCCCCAAAGUGUUGAACCAUGGUUUCUUGAAUUAAUUCUUCCUCGGAGAGGUGAGGAACUCAGAGUGGAUCCCUGGAAUUUGGCUGUUAUGUUACCUGAGGUGUUGUGGUAUAGAGUAUAUAGCAUGACCAUUUAUACAGAUUUGAGUUCUACCUUCACUGUGUGAUAUUAGUGAUUCUUGCAGCAAAUAGCUCUUGUUAUUGCUCCCCAAAUAUAAUUAUCACAUGGAGACAUACUGGAGACAGGUGUAGAGAUGACUACAGGCCAGCAUGAGAGGAGCGCCGCUGGCUGGGAAUGCGCUUUGAUGUCGACCUCUGGCUGCCACGGCCAGACCUGCCUUGGUGGGUGAGUAGCACGGGAGAGAGGGCGUGUGUGGGAGAGAGAAGGAUGAAAGGAGGGCGGCUGGGGCCCCGGGAUGCGGACAGACUCCUGCCUGUUCGUUUAGAUGCUUCAGGAAGGGAAAUGCUGAGCCUCACGAUUACAGAGGUGAUGAACCAGCUCAACUUUAGAAAUGACCAUGUGAAGUACUGCCUAACCCGAAGAAUCAAAUUAUUGUUCAGGCUUUUGGCGUUAAAAAAAAAAAAAAAAGAGAAGAAAGAGAUCAGCCAUGAGCAUUGCCAAAGAGAAAAAGACAUUCAGAUGACAUUCUAAGGAGCCUGGUUACUCGAGGAUGCAGGGAACCCGACACAGAGAUAGGGUCUGAGUGACGGCUUAGCACAACUUGCGCUCUUUCAGCUUUUGUUUUGAUGACUUGCACCAGAUGUCAGGAAUAAAUCACAGGCCCUGGUGGUAAGGCUACAUUUGUGAUGCAGGCAGGCAACACAUGAAAUCGUCACAUGCACAGUCUCCUCUGAUCUCUGGGGACCAGCCAGGCAAGGGGCAUCCUGAGAGGCUGAACCCACAAAGGAGCUUAUGGUUUAUAUGAAUUCUUGGCAUUCAGGAGCUACCUGAGGUCAGAUCAUGGAGUUUCUGAGGCUCUGUCUAGAUCAAAAGGCCUCAUAUUGCCAGGUUGUCAGGAUAGAUCAGACCUUGUUCUCCCAUAACCAACACUUGUUUCCUCUUCCUUCAACCACCUAUUUUGUUAAUCCCACCACAUAAAGGAAUGAGAGUCUCUCCUCAUCACUGAUUUCACAGCACAUUCUGUCAACGCUGUCUAGCAGGUUUGGGAAGGUGGAAGGAGGCAGAGAAAUUUUAUACAAAAUCCUUUUUGUUUUUUUUCUAUUUUGUUGACUCCCAAAGGAUAUUAUUUCAAAAAAUAUUAUCAUCAAGCAAGAGUUAAUUGAAAACCUACUACAUGCUGUAUCCAUCGUCUCAUUGUUCAGUUGCUAAGUCAUCUCCGACU